rnacentral:rRNA from 1 species
CCUACGGGUGACUGCAGUGGGGAAUAUUGGGCAAUGGGCGCAAGCCUGACCCAGCAACUCCGCGUGUAGGAUGACGGCUUUCGGGUUGUAAACUUCUUUUCUCAGGGACGAAGAAAGUGACGGUACCUGAGGACUAAGCCACGGCUAACUACGUGCUAGCCGCCGCGGUAAUACGUAGGUGGCACGCGUUAUCCGGAUUUAUUGGGUGUAAAGGGCGUGUAGGCGGGGGCGCAAGUCAGAUGUGAAAACUCAGGGCUCAACCCUGAGCCUGCAUUUGAAACUGUGUUUCUUGAGUGCUGGAGAGGCAGUCGGAAUUCCGUGUGUAGCGGUGAAAUGCGUAGAUAUGCGGAGGAACACCAGUGGCGAAGGCGGAUUGCUGGACAGUAACUGACGCUGAGGCGCGAAAGCGUGGGGAGCAAACAGGAUUAGAUACCCCAGUAGUC